AGAGUUUGAUCAUGGCUCAGGACGAACGCUGGCGGCGUGCCUAACACAUGCAAGUCGAGCGAGGAACUUCGGUUCCUAGCGGCGGACGGGUGAGUAACACGUGGGUAACCUGCCUUAUAGAGGGGGAUAGCCUUCCGAAAGGAAGAUUAAUACCGCAUAAAGUCUGAUUUUCACAUGAGAAUUUGACCAAAGGAGCAAUCUGCUAUAAGAUGGACCCGCGGCGCAUUAGCUAGUUGGUGAGGUAACGGCUCACCAAGGCGACGAUGCGUAGCCGACCUGAGAGGGUGAUCGGCCACAUUGGAACUGAGAUACGGUCCAGACUCCUACGGGAGGCAGCAGUGGGGAAUAUUGCACAAUGGGCGAAAGCCUGAUGCAGCAACGCCGCGUGAGUGAUGAAGGCCUUCGGGUUGUAAAGCUCUGUCUUUUGGGACGAUAAUGACGGUACCAAAGGAGGAAGCCACGGCUAACUACGUGCCAGCAGCCGCGGUAAUACGUAGGUGGCAAGCGUUGUCCGGAUUUACUGGGCGUAAAGAAUGCGUAGGCGGAUAUUUAAGUGGGAUGUGAAAUACCCGGGCUCAACUUGGGUGCUGCAUUCCAAACUGGAUAUCUAGAGUGCGGGAGAGGAGAGUGGAAUUCCUAGUGUAGCGGUGAAAUGCGUAGAGAUUAGGAAGAACACCAGUGGCGAAGGCGACUCUCUGGACCGUAACUGACGCUGAGGCAUGAAAGCGUGGGGAGCAAACAGGAUUAGAUACCCUGGUAGUCCACGCCGUAAACGAUGGGUACUAGGUGUAGGAGGUAUCGACUCCUUCUGUGCCGCAGUUAACACAAUAAGUACCCCGCCUGGGGAGUACGGUCGCAAGAUUAAAACUCAAAGGAAUUGACGG
rnacentral:rRNA from 1 species